UUUGAAACAAAUCCAGGCCUAACUGAGCAGCUUCUUCCCCUUUCUCACAAAAAGGGUCUCAAUAUGAUCAGCUACACCUUUUCAGAAGAAAACAUUCAAACUCUUUUGUUUUUUACAGACUUUGAUCCAACGUCAGAAUGGUAGUGAUUUCAGUGGAGAAGUCUUUAGCGGGAAGAGGAAGGCACGGCUUGUUGGAUCGCUGAUGUAACAGCAGCUGACAGGCUCACUCCUUUUCAUCACCUUGUGUUGGCACAAACACGUGUGGCUGUGCAGUGUACAGGACUGAGGGAUGAUCUGGCUUAAAACUAACGCAUAUUGAUACACCCAUCUGGUUCCCUAAGCUGCUAUGUAAACAUACGUGCUAGAGCAAGAGGAUGGUGUGGAUGAGGACUCAGAGGCAAUGUACAGAGAUCACUUGUGAUGCACAUCGGAUGCCCCAAUACAUUUGAAUGCUAUUUUAUCUUGAUUUAUGCAGGCAUAUCUACCCUAUGGGAAAUACUUGCAUUUGUCCAGCCUUAACACAUUUCAGCUAUGGGAAAAUAUCAGCAACUCAACUCCUGAGCUCCUGUUGCUGAAACAAGUUAUUUUCCCCAGUUAAAUGAUACCCACUCCAGUCAUCCUAAUUUUUAUUUUUAUUUAAAAAAAAAAUCAAAUCUGCUUGAUAUAUUCUGCAACAUUAAAUGACAAACAUGCAAAAGGCCACCACUUACUCCUACUUGCAGUAAAUGCAUCUGCUUUGUUAAACUCAGCCACUGUGAACUUCAGGAGAAAAAGUUUUGAAAACAAAGACAGAAGAAAAAGAAAUACAAAUCCUCCUCUAAACCAAAAAAUACCAAAGUUUCCACUAAACCACUAAAUACCAAAAAAUCCUCCUCUUUGAAGAGAAUAUCCAGCAAGCUGUCCAACAUGUAAAAAUCUUCUGCAUGGCUGACACUUGAGUUCCAAACUUUGUUUUGUAACACAACCACUACUUAUGCUUAAAAAAUGUUAAAAAAAAAAAAAAAAGAUUGCUUCUGCCUUGCCUUCAAAACGGAGAUGUAAUCCUUCAGCUAGAGCACAGCAGUAUCAACACAUGAUUAUCAUUUGAGUUAACCAUUGGGGCAGGGAUGUUCAGUGGGGAUGAUGGAAAAGUUAGCAAGGAAAUAAAAUUAUCUCAAAGCA